rnacentral:rRNA from 1 species
GACGAACGCUGGCGGCGUGCUUAACACAUGCAAGUCGAGCGGUAAGGCCUUUCGGGGUACACGAGCGGCGAACGGGUGAGUAACACGUGGGUGAUCUGCCCUGCACUUCGGGAUAAGCCUGGGAAACUGGGUCUAAUACCGGAUAUGACCUCCUAUCGCAUGGUGGGUGGUGGAAAGAUUUAUCGGUGCAGGAUGGGCCCGCGGCCUAUCAGCUUGUUGGUGGGGUAAUGGCCUACCAAGGCGACGACGGGUAGCCGACCUGAGAGGGUGACCGGCCACACUGGGACUGAGACACGGCCCAGACUCCUACGGGAGGCAGCAGUGGGGAAUAUUGCACAAUGGGCGAAAGCCUGAUGCAGCGACGCCGCGUGAGGGACGACGGCCUCGUU